rnacentral:rRNA from 1 species
ACGGAGGGUGCAAGCGUUAUCCGGAUUUAUUGGGUUUAAAGGGUCCGUAGGCGGGAUUAUAAGUCAGUGGUGAAAUCUUUCGGCUCAACCGGAAAAUUGCCAUUGAUACUGUAGUUCUUGAGUAUGCUCGAUGUAGGCGGAAUAUGUCAUGUAGCGGUGAAAUGCAUAGAUAUGACAUAGAACACCGAUAGCGAAGGCAGCUUACAAGCGCAUUACUGACGCUGAUGGACGAAAGCGUGGGGAGCGAACAGG